rnacentral:rRNA from 1 species
AACCUGCGGAAGGAUCAUUACCGAGUGAGGGCCCUCUGGGUCCAACCUCCCACCCGUGUUUAUUUUACCUUGUUGCUUCGGCGGGCCCGCCUUAACUGGCCGCCGGGGGGCUUACGCCCCCGGGCCCGCGCCCGCCGAAGACACCCUCGAACUCUGUCUGAAGAUUGUAGUCUGAGUGAAAAUAUAAAUUAUUUAAAACUUUCAACAACGGAUCUCUUGGUUCCGGCAUCGAUGAAGAACGCAGCGAAAUGCGAUACGUAAUGUGAAUUGCAAAUUCAGUGAAUCAUCGAGUCUUUGAACGCACAUUGCGCCCCCUGGUAUUCCGGGGGGCAUGCCUGUCCGAGCGUCAUUGCUGCCCUCAAGCACGGCUUGUGUGUUGGGCCCCGUCCUCCGAUCCCGGGGGACGGGCCCGAAAGGCAGCGGCGGCACCGCGUCCGGUCCUCGAGCGUAUGGGGCUUUGUCACCCGCUCUGUAGGCCCGGCCGGCGCUUGCCGAUCAACCCAAAUUUUUAUCCAGGUGACCUCGAUC